rnacentral:rRNA from 1 species
UACAGAGGUCUCAAGCGUUGUUCGGAUUCAUUGGGCGUAAAGGGUGCGUAGGCGGCGCGGUAAGUCGGGUGUGAAAUCUUGGAGCUUAACUCCGAAACUGCAUUCGAUACUGCCGUGCUUGAGGACUGGAGAGGAGACUGGAAUUUACGGUGUAGCGGUGAAAUGCGUAGAUAUCGUAAGGAAGACCAGUGGCGAAGGCGGCUUCCUGGACCGGUUCUGACACUGAGGAGCGAAAGCGUGGGGAGCGAUCCGG